UAAGACAAUGUCCUUAAGUUAGUCUUGGAUUUUAAAUGGCCGGUUCAGCCUAAUGUAUCACUUCCUGUGACCAGGAUGGCAGCAAAAAAGACCAUAUUGCACAACUGAUUUUGAAUUUUGUGAAUUUUAAGCUCAUGUGAAGCAGGAAAUUUAAGUGUUAUUUAUAAUAAGUAUAGCCAAGAAGGUAUACCUCCUUUCUCAAGUCUUAGAAGGAAUAUUGCUGUGCUUUCUGAAUUAGAGAAAAUAAGACUGCCUUUAUUUAUUUAUUUUGAUUCUUUACUGUUUUUGUCAGUCAGGGAAAUUCUAGAGACAGGUUGGUAUUAUUUAAGAAAACUGAAAUCCAUCAAUUAUAUUAAUUAUCUUAAAAUCUUCAGACCAAAAAAAUUUCCCUUAACUUCUUUAUUUGAAUUUUUGUAAAUAUUUUCUUAUAGUCUGAUAUUUAUGGUACAAAAUUUAUUCAUACUAGUUAUUAAAAUAAAUACAUAUUUGUUUAAGACUCUUUCCUGUCCUCCUUGGUAGUGGUCUUAUACUUUUGGUGGUUGUUGUAGUCGUAAAACACAAACUGGAAAACUUUUUUUUUUAAUUUUAUUGAAGUAUAGUUGAGUUACAGUGUUGUGAUAGUGUCUAUUGUAUAGCAAAGUGAUUCAGUUGUACGUAUACACACAUCCAUUCUUUUUCAGAUUCUUUUCCCGUAUAGGUUAUCACAGAAUAUUGGGUAGAGUUCUCUAAGCUCUACAGCAGGUCUCCACUGGCUAAUCAUUUUCCCUUUGUAUUUAAAACAAACAAAUAAAAAACCCUCUUGCCAAAGUGUAUAAAGGGAACAUAUCUUAACAUAAUAAAAGCCAUUUAUGACAAACUCACAGCAAAUAUAAUACUCAAUGGAGAAAAGCCUAAAGACUUCCCACUCAAAUCUGGAACAAGACAAGGAUGCCCCCUCUUUCCACUGUUAUUCAACAUAGUAUUGGAAGUCCUAGCCACAGCAACCAGACAAACAAAAGAAAUAAAAGGCCUCCAAAUUAGAAGAGAGGAGGUAAAACUGUCACUGUUUGCAGAUGACAUGAUAACUAUAUAUGGAAAAUUCUAAGGACUCAACCCAAAAACUACUUGAACUGAUCAACAAAUUCAGCAAAGUAGCAGGAUAUGAUUAACACUCAGAAAUCAGUCGCAUUUCUGUAGACUAACAAUGAAAUAUUAGAAAAGGAAUACAAAAAUACAAUACCUUUUAAAGUUGCACCCCAAAAAAUCAAAUACCUGGGCAUACACCUGAACAAGAAGGUAAAGGACUUAUAUGCCAAGAACUAUAACACAUUAAUCAAGGAAACUAAAGAAGAUGUAAAGAAAUGGAAAGAUAUUCCAUGCUCCUAGGUUGGAAAAAUUAAUAUUGUAAAAAUGGCCGUACUACCCAAAGCAAUCUACAUAUUCAAUGCAAUUGCUACCAAAUUACCCAUGACAUUUUUCGCAGAACUAGAACAAACAAUCACUAUAAAAGCAUUUCAACUGGUAUAUUUGGUAAGUUUUGUAUUCUGGUUACUGGGUAUUCAGGUUACUCUACCAUAGAGGUCUAAAUUCUAAAGAGUUAUUACUGAAACUAAAAUCAGUGAAUGACUUGAACUUAACUUCUCUACGGAGUUUAAGGGACUUUAAGUAUCUUUGAGCAUCUUGAAUGAAUAUUUGAAUAUCAUCAUGUUAUAGAGUAUUUUAGCUGUAGAAAGGGUUUUUUUUUUUGAUGUUCCUUUUUGAAAUAUACUUUGGUAUCACUUUAUUUCUCAUAAUUUUUGAAUCAUAGAAAAUCCCAUUGUUUGUAUAUUUUAGGCAUAUGAAGUUUAAUACUGGAAAUAUAUACUGCAAAAAGAGAAAAUAAAGUAAUAAUAUGAAAACAUAUAUAAGAUAUUAAAGAAAUUUUAAGGAAAUCUCGCAGAUAACUUGCAAUACUCAUUUUCAACAUUUAGCUUGUGUUUUUAAAGGGUAUGGCAGAAUGUAUAGAGUAUUUGAAUUUUACAUUAAAUAAUUGUCCAUGGCCAAAUACACUUUUGUCAUGUGUUCCUUUGGUUCCACAGUGUUUUUUGUUUGUUUUGCUCUUUGUUUUGAGGCCAGCACUUAUAAUAAAGAUUUCGCAUAAAAAUUCUCAGAUUGCUAGCUUUUAUUGAAAAUGUUGAUGCAGAGAAAAGGAUGUUCUUAUAAUUCACAGACCCUGUCCUCUUACACACCCUUGUUAUAUGCCUUGUCUCUCUGUUUCAUUGACUUACAGAGAGCUAGGUGUAGUUUUGUAGUGGUGGAUGAGUUCUCGAGCCAUAUGGGGUGGGGUCAGAGUCUGGCUUUGACACUUAACUAGUUGUGUGACUGUAAACACAUUCCUUAAUCUCUCUGUACCUCCGUUUUCUGUUUGGUAAAAUGAAAAUGCUGAUGGGUUGUUAGGAUGAAAUGAUGAGUGUACAUGAAGUGUUUUAGAGUAGUUUUUAUCACAUAUUUAUUGCUCAAUAGAUGUUAACUGCAAUUAAUAAUGCUUUUUUGCCUGACCCCAUUAGGUAUUUAAGUUUGGUGAUCCUUACUUCUCCAUAGUAAAGGAUUUUAUGUUUUAAUCUGCUCAUUCAUCUGAUCAGUAGUAUUUAUCAGAUUCUCUGUUGUAGUAUAAUUAUCUUUAUUUUGCUAUCUUCUACCAAAUUAGAUUCCCCAGAGUUCCAUCUCUGUGGUUAGCGUUCCAUGUGUGUUAAUUGAUUUGUACUUAUAAGAAGUAAGAACUGACAAUUUCAGAAUUAUGGAUUUAGGAUUUAUGGCUUUACAAAUUCUUACUGUCCAUUGGAAACAAAAGUUCUGCUUUCCCAAGUGUUGGUUUUUCCUAACCCUCUGCCUCUUUUGUUUUAACUGUAAUUCCAGUGGGAAAGGAUUUGUUAACAUCUGACCAUGAGUGAAGUGGCUGAGAGUUAGAGGGUUCUGAUAAAAAUCAGAUAAUAUUCCACAGUGAUUUUACAAAGUGAGAGUUUUAGAAAGAAAGUAAAAUAAAGGAGCAUUAUGUGUUGGGAAAAUAUUGGUCAAGGAUUUGUGUGUUAAUGGACUUCUGGAAUUUUUCUCUGGAAGUGGAGAUUAUAUCCUGUAAAAUUACAUACUCAUUUUGCUUGGACUUGCUUUUCCAGUUUAGCAUUCCACAUUUCCUCUUCCUAUCAUGUCCCCCGCUCUUGAAAUUGAAAAUAAUAUGUUACUUAUAUUAUUUUGGAUGAAAAUUAGUGAACCCAGUCUGUUUUUUGAAAGAUUCUGAUUUCAGAAGGUCAUUUGUACUUUAUGUACAUAAAGAAAUUAUAAGUAGUUAGGACAGCUUGGAAGUUCAAAAAAAAUGUAAUUUCGGAGUUCCCGUCGUGGCGCAGUGGUUAACGAAUCCAACUAGGAACCAUGAGGUUGCGGGUUCGGUCCCUGCCCUUGCUCAGUGGGUUAACGAUCCGGCGUUGCCGUGAGCUGUGGUGUAGGUUGCAGACGCGGCUCGGAUCCCAUGUUGCUGUGGCUCUGGCUUAGGCCGGUGGCUACAGCUCUGAUUCAACCCCUAGCCUGGGAACCUCCAUAUGCCGCGGGAGUGGCCCAAGAAAUAGCAAAAAAAGACCAAAAAAAAAAAAA
rnacentral:lncRNA from 1 species